rnacentral:rRNA from 1 species
UACGGGGGGGGUAAGCGUUGUUCGGAAUUACUGGGCGUAAAGGGCUCGUAGGCGGCCAACUAAGUCAUACGUGAAAUCCCUCAGCUUAACUGGGGAACUGCGUGUGAUACUGGAUGGCUUGGAUUUGGGAGAGGGAUGCGGAAUUCCAGGUGUAGCGGUGAAAUGCGUAGAUAUUCGCAAGAACACCAGUGGCGAAGGCGGCUCACUGGCCCGAUACUGACGCUGAGGUGCGAAAGCGUGGGGAGCAAACAGG